rnacentral:rRNA from 1 species
GAUGAACGCUGGCGGCGUGCCUAAUACAUGCAAGUCGAGCGAACAGACGAGGAGCUUGCUCCUCUGACGUUAGCGGCGGACGGGUGAGUAACACGUGGAUAACCUACCUAUAAGACUGGGAUAACUUCGGGAAACCGGAGCUAAUACCGGAGAAUAUAUUGAACCGCAUGGUUCAAUAGUGAAAGACGGUUUUGCUGUCACUUAUAGAUGGAUCCGCGCCGCAUUAGCUAGUUGGUAAGGUAACGGCUUACCAAGGCAACGAUGCGUAGCCGACCUGAGAGGGGGAUCGGCCACACUGGAACUGAGACACGGUCCAGACUCCUACGGGAGGCAGCAGUAGGGAAUCUUCCGCAAUGGGCGAAAGCCUGACGGAGCAACGCCGCGUGAGUUAUGAAGGUCUUCGGAUCGUAAAACUCUGUUAUUAGGGAAGAACAAAUGUGUAAGUAACUAUGCACGUCUUGACGGUACCUAAUCAGAAAGCCACGGCUAACUACGUG